CACGGGGGGAGCAAGCGUUGUUCGGAAUCACUGGGCGUAAAGGGCGUGUAGGCGGUCGAGUAAGUGGGAUGUGAAAUGCCUCGGCUUACCCGGGGACCGGCAUCCCAAACUGCUUGGCUUGAGUAUGGGAGAGGAUGAGGGAAUUCCUGGUGUAGCGGUGAAAUGCGCAGAUAUCAGGAAGAACACCAAUGGCGAAGGCAGCUCUCUGGGACGGUACUGACGCUGAGACGCGAAAGCGUGGGGAGCGAACAGG
rnacentral:rRNA from 1 species